ACUCCUACGGGAGGCAGCAGUGGGGAAUAUUGCACAAUGGGCGCAAGCCUGAUGCAGCCAUGCCGCGUGUGUGAAGAAGGCCUUCGGGUUGUAAAGCACUUUCAGUCGUGAGGAAGGUAGUGUAGUUAAUAGCUGUAUUAUUUGACGUUAGCGACAGAAGAAGCACCGGCUAACUCCGUGCCAGCAGCCGCGGUAAUACGGAGGGUGCGAGCGUUGUCCGGAUUUAUUGGGCGUAAAGGGCUCGUAGGUGGUUGAUCGCGUCGGAAGUGUAAUCUUGGGGCUUAACCCUGAGCGUGCUUUCGAUACGGGUGACUUGAGGAAGGUAGGGGAGAAUGGAAUUCCUGGUGGAGCGGUGGAAUGCGCAGAUAUCAGGAGGAACACCAGUGGCGAAGGCGGUUCUCUGGGCCUUUCCUGACGCUGAGGAGCGAAAGCGUGGGGAGCGAACAGGAUUAGAUACCCUGGUAGCUACGAG
rnacentral:rRNA from 1 species